ACUUGAUAUUUGGUAUAAAUAAAGCACGUGUUUGACGAUCAGUGUAGUACGACUUGCCAACACGAAUAUCGCGGGGUACCUUACACUGAUUGUCGUCGUCAUCGACAAAACCGCGGCAGUCUCUUUCCUCACAGGCGGCAAUGUACAGAACUCUACUAACCAAAAUCUCGUCGGAGUAGAUAGUCAAACCUUGGACGUGUUCAGACAACUGCUGAAUCAAGAAACUAUCAUCAGAAUGAACUUGGUUAAAAAUGUCGACGCGUUGAUGAAAAACGUCGCUGUGGCCGAACAGAAAAUUUCAACAAUAGAAGCAUCCACUGAUCACGGAGGUCCAGAAAUUAAAACUUGAAAACCACGUGUUGAAAAAUGAGAGUAGAGUACAACGUAGGCGUCUCGCUAAUAUCACUGGUUACAUGAACAAAACAGUAGACAGUCUGAAGGUCGAAGUGAAGGACGCGCAGAUUCAACAGCUGAAGUUAUCCUCCGCUGUGGCCUCUCUAGAGAUGUUCCGAAUGAAUCUGAACACCAGUAUACUUGGUACUUAUGUUAUUGUUUUCGGAUUUUAUGAUUAUUUUAUCUAUUGCAUUUCCUGACCACUUCAUUAAGACAAUCCGAUUUUCUGAUCGAAAGAUUAUCUGUCACCAUCUCUGUCGUUCUUGUUAUCCUAGCUUUACACAUGUGUUUAGUUCUCGAAUCGCCGAGUAACAAAUUUAACAUCCAUCAUUCGUUGCUGAUGGGGGAAUCAAAAUGCUGAAACUGUUUUCCAAAGUGAGAUGAAUAGAAAAUAGUUGAUAAAAGUAUGUUUUUGUGAGCCUCAUGAACGUAAAAUCCGGAGGAGAGUAUCAUGAUAAUUUGGGUUGACAUCCCUAACAAGAGAUUUAGGGUUAAUAGAGUUCAAAAUAUUGCAUGCAAAUUAUACCAAAAUGUUU